AUAUUUUGAAUUAAGUAUAUUCAUAAUAUUUUUCAGACAAAGAGUUAAAAGAUAAAGGUUGAUGUUUGGUCGAUCUCCAAGAAGAUCGACUGACAUUGCACACAAGGUGGAUAUGGAUUUAAAAAGUGCCAUAAAACACUUAUUAUGAAUGAUCCUUCCGCAGGUUCACCUACGGAAA
rnacentral:misc_RNA from 1 species